CCCCGCCCCACCCCGCCUUUUCCGCCCCUAGUGAUGACAUUUUUCAGCUGCCACUUGAAGCCGCCCACGAGGGCAUCAGGGCAGGCGCGUGGCGUAGGGCUGGGUGGAGAGCGCAUAACUGGAGGGUGAUUUUUCUCUUUCUGGCUCCUUAACUGGGUCAUAUGAGCUCAAAUGGAGGCACGCCCUUCAGGGCUGUUUGCGGGGGACAGACUCAGGCCCCGGCUUUGCAUCUGUGGGGAGGGGAGAGGAUGCUCCAUUCUGUGUAUUUACCGGCUUUAGCCGGUGAGGAGACCCAGUGGAGAAGGUGCAGAAGUUCAGAGUUUCCCAUCUUUGGCCUGCCUCGGUUUUCAAAAAAUACAGAAGCGCGGCCGAGAAAGGAACAAAGCCCUGUGAAGUGCAAACGAGGGCCCAGUGGGCUGUGGUGUGCGCAGAUGAGGAAAUUAGGACGCAGAGAUUAAAUAACCUGCCUAAGUAAGGUGCUGGUGAGUCGUGGCACUUGGGCUUCUGUGUAGCAUUGUCUGUCAGCCUCCGCUCUCAGCCAGCUGCCUGGAAGCCAGAAGAAUUCUGGCUUGCUGUAGACGGCAGCAGCUUUCCCAGAGGUCUCCCGAAUCCACAAGGAAGUAACUGGACUUCUAUCAGACAGGACGCACUGUAGAUAAUCAGCCUAGAAGAGAAGGAGCCUUGCUGUGGGCUUCCGGCCACACUCCGGGCUGCUUCCUGCUCUCAGCUCACCUGGUCCUUGCCAGAUGCCCACCUGCAGGCCUGAGCACAGCCACCCCACAGUCCCCAAGGCUUGGCUAACCCGCGAUUCCUGCUGGGGACACCUCCCUGCCGCUCUGGCCCACCCAGUGGUGGCGCGUCUGGUCCCUCUUGUCUGUCUCAGCUCAGUCCACGGUUCUAACUCCAGACCCCUCCUGCUUUGCUCUUUCUUAUUUAAAUACCUAGAGCGUAAGCCAGUGGAGGUUGGACACACGAAGGCAGAGAGCUAUGCAUUUCUCUGGCAUUUGCGUGUUUGAGUCAUCACAUUCGUUUGUGAGCCUCUCGAUGGCAGGGACCAUGUCUUCGGUCCGGUGCUUCUCAAACUGUAAUAAACCUGCAGGCCUCCUGGGGUCUUAUUAAAACACAGUUGUUUAGGUUGAACAAAACUGGGGAGGAGCCCAGGACUCUGCAGUUUUACGAGCUCGUAGGUGAUGCCGGUGCUGAUGGUCCAGCGGCCAUGCGUUAAGCAACACGGCUUUACCUGUCUAUCGUUUGAUAUCGAAGUGGUGCAUUUUCUUAUGCCUUCUUAGCAGACUAGAUGCUUCUUGCGAGCCAGACUAUUUCCUUUUGCUUCUUUGUGCCCCCGCUGCGCAGUGCAUGUGCUCAGUACAUAUUUGUUGCACGAAUUAAUGGAUGUACGAAUGCAUCCUUCUCUGUGCCAUGACAGCGCUUCGCGUGAACUGAGCAUCAGGAAUGAAUGAAUGAAUGAGUAGAUGAACAUGUGCAUCCUUGAUUCGAAUCAGCAGACAGCGGAGUGAUAAAUCUGAAACCAUUGCUUAAUUUCCCUAGAGUUGGGGCAGAAGGAGGGGAGGAAGUGAAAGAGAAGAAGCUGUCUGACAGCUUAGGCUGAGGCCUCACAUAAAGCUGUCAAGUUAACACUGGAAACACGGCAGGGCCAUCCUGCUUGCUCCCAAGGGCAGAACGCUUGAGCUUAGUGUCGUAGCAAAGGAUUAUGAAAGCUAUAAGCAACUUCUGGGACUUCUACACAAGGCCUGUUUUCCAUAUGUGUUCCUCUUUUUCUGCGCUCCACUCUCCAUAUUUUUUUAAAUGAGCACAUGCAGGGACACACACGCACACCCCCCCACCCCUCCUCAGAUGGAAAAGCCAUAGGGUUGAGUUCUUAUUCGCCUUUGAGCACUCAAUUGCUGGAGCCAAGGGAAAUUUGGGGCAGCUUUUCAGAUUGUGCUAGAAAUGAUGUAAUGCCUGAAGGAAUCCCCAGAGAAAGGUAGGCAGCUCAGAGGGGAGUGAUCUUUCGGCCACUCCUGAUUUGCUAGGAGCAAAAAUACAGUGUUCUUUCUUGGUCUCAUCUUUCUGGCAUUGCCUUCAUUAAGCUUUAGCUUUAGCUUCCAGACUGAAAAACCGAGGAAAGAAAUUGGAGCAAAGAAGGAGAAACUCUUGCUCACUUGUUUCUCAGAUGCUUGCGUUGUCCUUUUUCCCGGUCACUCAGAUGAACACAGCCUUGAUUGUGUGGCACAAGUUUAUAGAACUUCACCCUUUGGCCAGCAGAGUUGGCUCAGGUUAAAGAUACUGACAGUGUUUGUUGAGCAUCUAUUAUGGGCCCAAGUGCAUACACCUAUGUUACUUGCACUGCAUUGAAUCCUCGCCCAGAAAGAAAUACUGUUAUAUCCCUUUUAUAGAUGAGGGCACAGGUUCAGAUGGGUUAAGUAACUCACCCAAGGUCACAGUGAGAUGUGGCUCUGCAGCUGAGUUCACACUGCCUGUCAAUUAGGGCAUGACUUCGAUCUUCUCAUUUCGAAUCACUGUGCAUUCGAAAGGCCGUCACAUUGGUCUGCCUUUCAAUCUUUGGAUUGAAGCCAGGCAUAGAAAGUUUCAGCCUAGAAGCAUUUUGGGGCCAGGGUAAAAGCCAGGAAGAAAUAAAGAGUUUAAAGAGAGCUAUCUUAAACCAUUUGCUUUUCAUCCUUAAUAAUUUCAGCAAAUACAACAAGCAUCCAGUACACAAGAAGCAACGUUUGCAUCAGUAAUUCAGAAAUAUGCACGAUUAAAGAUGAAAUCACUAUUCCCUAAUGUAGUCUGGUAAGGCUCAUCUUAAAAUAAAGCCAGUGAUUGAAUGCCAGAUACUUAAAUACCUGUGAGACUUCACAGCCAGGUCCUCAAUCUUUUUGUAUUUUAGUGGCUUACAUAUCCAAAUUUUCUAACAGUGGAUUCCAAAGGAGUGCUCACAUUUAUUAAUUUCUCUGGAAUUUCAAGGUGUUUAACAAUUGUACCGUACCUGGGAGGCUGGGAAUGAUGAAUUAAGGAGGUAUUUCUUAUUUGUGACCUGGUUUAAAUAGAGAGUUCAUUAAGCAGGGAUCUUGCUACAAUCUCUUGUCUGUAAAUUCUGUUACAGAGCUCUCAUAUAAAUAGCAGCAUUUUCACACAUCUGUGGCAUAGUGAUAACUGACAUGCUCUGUGGUGAUGUUUACAGCCCUGUUAAGAUCCUAAAAGUGCCUCUAAAUCAUCAAAGGAAAAUUAAAUUAUGUUGAGCAUAGUUUUAUUAUUCAGGGCAUCUUAUGAAAUUCAGACUCCAGAAAGGGUGACACAUGUAUAGGUUAUGCAUUAAACUCAGUGAGUGUGCGACUAUCCGGAAGCCCCCACCACUCCCUGCCCGGUCCCCCUUCUCUGAUCAUGACAGACAACAGCUCUUUGAGCCCCCUCGCAUUCCAAAAAAACCUUCCAGAGAAUUGGGGGGAAAACUGAUUAUGUUCCCAACCAGUGAUCAUUUCUAAGUUGAGAUUUUCAUCUUUUUCCUAUACGCUGCGGAUUCAUCGGAAUAAAAUCGAGGGUCCCUUCGACUGGAUGUUGAUGGGUCUCGCGCAGAGGCGAGUGUUGCACUGUUAACGUGCAACAUCAGAAUAGUAAUCGGGACGGCAGAUUUUCCAGACGCGUUGUACACAAAUGCUGUGCUCACGCCCUAGAGAACGACACUCAGACCACGGAUAUUGAGAGAGCAGAGGAGUCACCUUGAGAAAAAUAUGAAAUGCUUAAGUGACUGUAAAUUAGCUCCAUGGCAAACAAGGCAGGAGAAUAUGAAAAUCUGCCUUGGAUGGGUCACAAGUGACAUCCGACUCUGCCCCAGCUUCACGCAUCUGCCUUGUUGAUGUUUACUCCAAUUGGACUUGUCCUUUCCUUUCCAUGACGACAGAUAAGAGUUUUCUUCCUCUCUUCUUCCUCUGCGCCUCUCCCCACGCCCCUUACGACUACAGACCUUACACAGCCUCUCCCAGGCCACUCUUGUCUGGUCGUCCCGGGUCCUGGACAGUUAAGAGAUGAUGGCAGAGGGGCUGGGAGGGCACCCGCGUACUGCCACCCUCCAUCCCAGCCCCACCUCGCAGGCCCUGAGCCCCUCAGGUGUGAUAAGGCACGUGUGAUGCCUGCCUGGUGCCCAGCACCCAGUCGGCGCCCAGUGAAUGCUGUUGAAUGAAUGAAUGAGAGCAAAUGAACUCGGCAAAUUCCGGUUCCCUUUCUCCCUUCUCUUCUGCUUCCUUUCUUCAGUGCCUUUUGGCAGUUGGCCAAUUGGGACAAAAAAGGAAUAGGAACGUUCUCUCCUUGCUGAUUAUGGGACACAAGGGCCACUCCCCCUCAGUCCCCCGCCUCCCCUUUCCCCAUUCUCACUGGGCACUGUGCUGCUCAGGUGAGGAAAAGGGCAGGAGACGGAUGACAGAAGGACCAUACAAAAUCCCUGGGCUGCAUUAUCUUCCGCAGUCUGUUCCUUUGUUAUUCCCCCUGGCCCCCCACCCCUUCUCCCCUACUCCUGCCCUCCCCACCCCACCCCUGAAUGUCAACACCUGUCCCCGCUUCCCUUCCCCGGAAUACACCAGCCCUGUUGCCCCUUCCCCACCCCUGGACAAGCCCCCUGACCACCCAGUGUCCCUGGAGUGGGAAGCAGAGACUACAUUAAAAGCCUGAUGAAAUACAAGGCAGGAAGCAUUUUAGAGACUCCAUCAGGGGUCAGGUUUUAAAAGCUCUCGAAAUCAGGUCUGACAAUCCCCAGAAAAGAGAGAAUGAUACAGAUUUCUAAGAAACCAAGCUGGGAGACAGACAAGCCAAAGCUGUGUUUUUCUGCCUUGGGGGUAGAUAUUCUCCCACGUGUUCCCAACCCACGCCCAGGUCUGGGUCUCGUGCGCUGCCCCCCCCCCCCCAAGCGGGUUAUGGGAAGUGGGGUGGGGCGGGAGGCUAAUAGGGCUGGGUGGUCACAGCUCCCUGCAGUGGGGCUCUCUCCAAGGCUGUGAUUUUCACAUCAGGCACUGGACGGACAACAAGCCAGAACACUCGAGCUGUCUCUGCCAGCAACUAGAUGUAGGAAGCAAGCACAUCACAGCAUAGCACAAUCGGCCUGUGCUGUCAGCCAGGGCGGCCAUUCAUUCCAUGCACAUGCACACAGCUGGGCCAGUCAAUGGGGAACCAGUUCUGUGUUGAAGAGGGAUGGUGGCAGACACAUCCUCCAGCCUGUUGGGUGCCAUUCAGCCUGCCUGUGCCCAUGUGGCGUCUGAGCUGAGGUAUGGAUAGAAAAUUAGCCAUCGUCUUGAGGGAAGCCACUUUGCACUUCAAUCUGUCUUUCGAUCAACAAUACAGGUAGAAACAUAGAAACUACCUGGAAAAUCUGUAGUAUAGGGGGAGAAAGCUGACAUCCUGGAUGACAGAGUCAACGUGUGAAGAAGAACUUCCCAGGCUGGGGUAAUGAAUGAAAAUCAAAGAGGCUAGUCUGAAUAGGGUCAUGGGCAAAAGUCCAACAUUAGUGGUAUUUUUUUUUUUUUCUUCAUUGCACAAAGCUCAGGAUCGGGGACACAUGAAUUAGUUCAUAUGACUCUUGGUCGAUUGCAUAAUCUAUAGGGGGGCUGGGAUCUAGGGAUCAGAGAAGGCAAGACAGGAGGAGGAGAAGAGGGAAAUUUCAGACCCACCCUAGCUUAUCCCACUAAUUGGGUGUAAUUCAUUCUCAGUCCGGAGAGACAGAGCACUUCUAGCUUCCAGUGAACUCUUAAGGGCCCAAAAGAUAGAUGGUGCUGGCCAUCACAUAGCAAAGGCUGCCUCUGAGAGCCCAGGAUUGGUGCCAGGUCAUGCCAAAGACCAGGGCCACCUUCAGGUUGUGUCCUGAUGUCUCAGCUGACUAGGGAGGGGAUUUAUUUAUAUCGUACAAAAGAUGACUGCCUCCAGAGGGCACACGUUAGGCUAUUUCCCUCACAAGUUCCGUGGAUGUGGCAGGCGCCCGUCCAGAACAUCCCCUUCCUGACCUAGAUGGAAGGGUAUAUUACGUUCGCAAUUAUCUCUGCUUUUU